GGAGCUGUGCCGCUGCCGCCGUCACAGGCUCUGCCUUCACAGGGAUGCCCGGGCGGCGCCUGAGGAGGCAGCAGGAAGAGCUCCAGCUCAUCUGGAAUGCCCUCCAAGCCCGGAGGCAAGGUGCCAGCCCAUCAUCCUCUAGCCUGGAAAACCAAGCCCGAUUUCCCCAACCAGAUGGAGAAGUAGGGACAUCAUCUGGAUCCAGUGAACCAGUGUCCCAAGAACAGCACCAGGAGACACUGAAGAGGACAUCACCUCUCAGCACAGCUGGAGCUCCAGGCACAGCCGACGCUGGGCAAAGUUCUCCUGGCUUCAGCCCUCUCCCUGCCUGUAGCUAGCUCCCUCCCUCCCUGCCUCCUUCCCUCCAGCCUUCAGACAUUGCCCAUCCCCAUUUUUCUCUCCGCUAUUCCUUCCUUUUGUCAGCUCUGCCCCACCAGCCCUCUAGCUAUCCAUGUCCUUUUCUUCCCUUCACUCUCCCUCCCUGUUGAUGGCUCUGUCCCUCCAGCCCUCAGACACUGCCCAUCCCCACUUUCUCCCUCCCAGCUCAUCCCUUUGCUUCGCCUGCCAUUAAUAAACAGUUUGGCUUCUUCA